GACGAACGCUGGCGGCGUGCUUAACACAUGCAAGUCGAACGGUAAGGCCCUUCGGGGUACACGAGUGGCGAACGGGUGAGUAACACGUGGGUGAUCUGCCCUGCACUUCGGGAUAAGCCUGGGAAACUGGGUCUAAUACCGGAUAGGACCCUGGGAUGCAUGUCCUGGGGUGGAAAGCUUUUGCAGUGUGGGAUGGGCCCGCGGCCUAUCAGCUUGUUGGUGGGGUGAUGGCCUACCAAGGCGACGACGGGUAGCCGGCCUGAGAGGGUGACCGGCCAACCUGGGACUGAGAUACGGCCCAGACUCCUACGGGAGGCAGCAGUGGGGAAUAUUGCACAAUGGGCGCAAGCCUGAUGCAGCGACGCCGCGUGAGGGAUGACGGCCUUCGGGUUGUAAACCUCUUUCAGCACCGACGAAGCGCAAGUGACGGUAGGUGCAGAAGAAGGACCGGCCAACUACGUGCCAGCCGCCGCGGUAA
rnacentral:rRNA from 1 species